CCAGAAUCCUACGGGAGGCAGCAGUGGGGAAUUUUGGACAAUGGGGGCAACCCUGAUCCAGCAAUGCCGCGUGUGUGAAGAAGGCCUUCGGGUUGUAAAGCACUUUUGUUCGGAAAGAAAUCGCUCUGGCUAAUAUCCAGAGUGGAUGACGGUACCGGAAGAAUAAGCACCGGCUAACUACGUGCCAGCAGCCGCGGUAAUACGUAGGGUGCAAGCGUUAAUCGGAAUUACUGGGCGUAAAGCGUGCGCAGGCGGUUGUGCAAGACAGGUGUGAAAUCCCCGGGCUUAACCUGGGAAUGGCAUUUGUGACCGCACGGCUAGAGUGUGUCAGAGGGGGGUAGAAUUCCACGUGUAGCAGUGAAAUGCGUAGAUAUGUGGAGGAAUACCGAUGGCGAAGGCAGCCCCCUGGG
rnacentral:rRNA from 1 species